GAAAAUAUGUACAUACAUAUCACAAAUUCAGCAUAAUGUCAAGUUUACAACAUACUGUGAUGCAAAGUUUUGUGCCACUGCUACGAAAUUUACUCUUUUUUUUUUUUUACCAACAAGUAGAGAUUACCUAGCACCUUCCUUAAACAGGAUAUUUGGUCGAAGCCAGGCCGGCUUGCCACCAACCUCACCAUCCUUAGUACGAUGAUCAUGAUCCUUCUUCAGCUUCGCAUUAAUGCAUUUUCCUACAGAUACACCAAGCUUUGCUGCUGUAAGUAGGCUAAACGCAAUAGAAAGUGGUCGAAUACACCAGUGAAAGUCCUCGAGGUGCUGAUACUUCUUGAUAAUGCCAGGACAUGUAUCAAAUGAUACUUCCAUCACCUCAUCUGGAUCAGCUAAGAAAGUAUUAGGUUCAUCACCAAAUACCAACCUUCCUGGAAAUUGAACGACAAGACAACCAUUUGGAAGUAUCUGUGAUAUUCUACCAGUAGCCCAUCCUCCUCCCCAUUUCUUAGGCCAUUCAAACCUGGGAGUUUCAACAUUUGAUUUCAAUUGCACGAAUUGUCCCAAGAAAUAUGGGUCAACUUUUUCGACUUCAGAAGAAUGUCCUGUCCAUAAUGUUUCUAAGCCUAAAAUACCAACACUGAUGCUUCCAUCACGCUGCACCGAGUGUAAGAUGCCCACAGAGAAGUGAUUCUUACUUUCAUUGACCAAGCGCACCCAAUCCCCAGUUGCCAAACCACAUGUAACCCUCUCUAUGGUUGAUGCAUUUACCCGAAGAGGGCUCCGUAAAUUGGGGACUCGUACCAGAACAAAUCCAUCUCGAUCAGUAUCUUUCUCGAGACCAACAACACUUCCUUCCAACACAGCCAAAUCUUGAGAAUUUCUGGAGUUGAACAUUUUUCUGGAGCGAAUAGUAUCUCCCACUUGAAGAUGAUCUUUUGAAAGGAACCAUGUGGUAAAGCCACAGGUUUUGCUUUUCUCAGACAGAGUUCCUCCUAUGUCGCUCCCCUCUCCUUCACUAUAAACAGCAUUCUUUGAGCUUUCAAAUGCUUGCAAAAUGUCCACCAUCAGAGGUCGAUUGCGGAGAUCAUACUCAAAACAGCCAUUGAGAACAUUCUCAAUAGCAGUGGGGAGGCCACCAGGAAGUUGUGGCUUUUCUUGGUUUAUCACCACCAAACGGUAGAUAUCAUAGACUGAUUUACCGAACCAGGGCUGAACACCAGUCAACAUCUCGAUAACGCUGCAUCCAAAUCCCCAAGCAUCAGUCUCACAAGUUAUUGGGCCUCUAACCUCAGGUUCCCACUGUUCCGGAGCCAUGUAAUUCGGAGUCCCACGCCUUAGUGCUAAAUCUGAAUCAGGCGGUUGAACUCCAAGGAGAAGAUACGGUAUACCAAAGUCUCCGAGGAACACUUCAUCAUGUUCGUUCAGAAGAAAAUUAGUUGGCUUAAGGUUCAGAACCAGGACAUUCAUUGAAUGCAAUUCUUGUAUUACUUUACCCAAUUCAAUACCAUAUCUAAGCACAUCAGGUAACUGGAGCUUCCCUCUUUUCAGACGAGCCAUUUUAUCACCAACUGACCCCUCAUAGGAUCUCAUAACUAUACAGAUCUUUCCAGAUAUUACAGUGAUACCAUGCAGCCAACAAACACCUUGGAUUUGUUUAGACUUCAACUUCACCCAUAAAUCCUCGAACUUACUUAAGAAAGCCUUUACCUGAUCCUCAUUUAUAGGAUGUAACCUUUUUACAGCUACUUCAUGAUGCUCAUCGUACUCAGUAGCUGAUUGAUGAUGUGUGGCUGACCAAACAUCACCAAAGUAUCCACGUCCGAUCCUAUGUUUAAGUUUGAUUGAAGCAGGAUCAAUGUACGGACCGGCUGGGGCAGGUGCAGCAACAACAGUUCUAAGAUGAUCAGGAUCUCCUUCAUAAAGCUCAUAAUCGAAAGAGGCUGCCAAAGGAGAUCCUUUCAUAUCUUUAGCCAUUUU
rnacentral:misc_RNA from 1 species